rnacentral:rRNA from 1 species
CUAGUAACGGCGAGUGAAGAGGGAACAGCUCAAGCUUAAAAUCUGUGCUGUCUUGGCAGCACCGAAUUGUAGUCUCGAGAAGUGUUUUCACGGCGGAGAGGAGGUGCUCAAGUUGCUUGGAAAAGCACACCGUAGAGGGUGACAGUCCCGUGUACGGCACCUACUCACCGCUCACGAUACACUCUCCACGAGUCGGGUUGCUCGGGAAUGCAGCCCAAAAUGGGAGGUAGACUCCUUCUAAAGCUAAAUAUGGACACGAGACCGAUAGCGAACAAGUACCGUGAGGGAAAGAUGAAAAGAACUUUGAAAAGAAAGUUAAAAGUACGUGAAACCGUUAGUAGGGAAGCGCAUGGAAUUAGCAGUACCUCGGAGAGAUUCAGGCCGCGUGAGUCGGGGUAGCUCUGUCGCGCGGAUCCGAACGGACCGUCGGCGGGGUUCUCUCCGUCUCUCCGGUUGCACUUCUCAUCGGUGGUGCGUCAGCAAAUGUUGGGACUGGCUGAAAUGCUCGUCUCGAAGGUAGCCGGCCCCGGCUGGUGUUAUAGCGAGGCGAUGUCCGAGUCAGGCCCGACAUAGGAGUCGCGGUACGUGCCCUCUUUUGGGCUGGCCUCUUCUGUGUCACCGGGCUGUCGACCAUAGCAGACUACUCGUAGUGUGUUUGAACUGCUGUCCCUUGAGACUGGAGUAGGGUACAAACGUGCCAAGGUUGUUGGCGGUCAAAUGAUUUCAUACGACCCGUCUUGAAACACGGACCAAGGAGUCUAACAUGUGUGCGAGUCUUAGAGUGACUGAAACUCCACGGCGCAAUGAAAGUGAACGGCCCAGCCGUUGGUGAGACCCGUUCCUCCUCGUGUGGACCGGUGCAUCAUCGACCGACCUAAUCUACUCUUAGACAGGUUUGAGUAAGAGCACAUAUGCUGGGACCCGAAAGAUGGUGAACUAUGCUUGAGUAGGGUGAAGCCAGAGGAAACUCUGGUGGAGGCUCGUAGCGAUUCUGACGUGCAAAUCGAUCGUCAAACUUGUGCAUAGGGGCGAAAGACUAAUCGAACCAUCUAGUAGCUGGUUCCCUCCGAAGUUUCCCUUAGGAUAGCUGGAGCUCGGAGAAACAGUUUCAUCCGGUAAAGCGAAUGAUUAGAGGCAUUAGAGAUGAAACAUCUUUAACCUAUUCUCAAACUUUCAAUGGGUGAGAAGUCUGACCUGCCUAACAGAGGCCAGACAAUGAAUGAAUGAGUUCCAAGUGGGCCAUUUUUGGUAAGCAGAACUGGCGAUGCGGGAUGAACCGAACGUAGAGUUAAGGCGCCUAAAUCGACGCUCAUCAGACCCCACAAAAGGUGUUGGUUGAUCCAGACAGCAGGACGGUGGCCAUGGAAGUCGGAAUCCGCUAAGAGUGUGGUAACAAC